rnacentral:rRNA from 1 species
AGAGUUUGAUCAUGGCUCAGAAUGAACGCUGGCGGCGUUAACACAUGCAAGUCGUACGAGAACUCUUCUGCUUGCAGAAGAUAGUAAAGUGGCGCACGGGUGAGUAACGCGUGGGUAAUCUACCUCUGAAUCGGGGAUAACCCGCCGAAAGGCGAGCUAAUACCGGAUAAUAUCUUUAAACUUCGGUUUUUAAGAUCAAAGGUGGUCUCUACAUGUAAGCUACUGUUUGGAGAUGAGCCCGCGUACCAUUAGCUUGUUGGUAGGGUAAUGGCCUACCAAGGCCGCGAUGGUUAGCUGGUCUGAGAGGAUGAUCAGCCACACUGGAACUGACACACGGUCCAGACUCCUACGGGAGGCAGCAGUGAGGAAUUUUGCGCAAUGGGGGAAACCCUGACGCAGCAACGCCGCGUGAGUGAUGAAGGCUUUCGGGUCGUAAAGCUCUGUCAAGUGGGAAGAACCUGCUAGAUGUUAAUAUCAUUUAGCUCUGACGGUACCACUAAAGGAAGCACCGGCUAACUCCGUGCCAGCAGCCGCGGUAAUACGGGGGGGUGCAAGCGUUAUUCGGAAUUAUUGGGCGUAAAGGGCGCGUAGGCGGUCUCUAAAGUCAGAUGUGAAAGCCCGGGGCUUAACCUGGGAACUGCAUUUGAAACUGGCAAACUAGAGUAUGGGAGAGGGAAGUGGAAUUCCUGGUGUAGCGGUGAAAUGCGUAGAUAUCAGGAGGAACACCAGUGGCGAAGGCGACUUCCUGGACCAAUACUGACGCUGAGGCGCGAAGGCGUGGGGAGCAAACAGGAUUAGAUACCCUAGUAGUCC